CCUACGGGUGGCAGCAGUGAGGAAUAUUGGUCAAUGGACGAGAGUCUGAACCAGCCAAGUAGCGUGAAGGAUGACUGCCCUAUGGGUUGUAAACUUCUUUUAUAUGGGAAUAAAAUGUUCCACGUGUGGGAUUUUGUAUGUACCAUAUGAAUAAGGAUCGGCUAACUCCGUGCCAGCAGCCGCGGUAAUACGGAGGAUCCGAGCGUUAUCCGGAUUGAUUGGGUUUAAAGGGAGCGUAGGUGGAUUGUUAAGUCAGUUGUGAAAGUUUGCGGCUCAACCGUAAAAUUGCAGUUGAAACUGGCAGUCGUGAGUACAGUAGAGGUGGGCGGAAUGCGUGGUGUAGCGGUGAAAUGCUUAGAUAUCACGAAGAACUCCGAUUGCGAAGGCAGCUCACUGGACUGCAACUGACACUGAGGCUCGAAAGUGUGGGUAUCAAACAGGAUUAGAUACCCGAGUAGUC
rnacentral:rRNA from 1 species